rnacentral:rRNA from 1 species
UACGUAGGGUGCAGGCGUUAAUCGGAAUUACUGGGCGUAAAGCGUGCGCAGGCGGUUUGCUAAGAGAGAUGUGAAAUCCCCGGGCUUAACCUGGGAACUUCGUUUCUAACUGGCAGGCUAGAGUGUGGCAGAGGGGGGUGGAAUUCCACGUGUAGCAGUGAAAUGCGUAGAGAUGUGGAGGAACACCGAUGGCGAAGGCAGCCCCCUGGGCUAACACUGACGCUCAUGCACGAAAGCGUGGGGAGCAAACAGG